AUGGCAAGAUUGUUCCUAGACUUACAGUCUCCGGUCUUUACAACGGGCAGGGAAAAGCAACCUACAGAAGGUCCCCAUUUCACCGAGGAAGAAACUGAGGCCCAGAGCCAGAGGUCUCCGAGAGAUCCCCAGGCAACGGACAAUCCAGGCUAUGCAAGUGGUCUGACGGGACCAAGGGGCAGAAAGGACGGCAAACUCUUCAGAGGCCCCAGCACCCUCCCCAACACCUCGCUUAGAGGCAAAGUGAGGCCGUGUUGGCUGAAGGGGGAAAGUAGCCAGGGCAUCCUCCUGCCUGCGGAGAAGGACCCCAGCUUUCCCGUCUGGUCGGGCACCUGGAGAAUAGAUUUAGGAGGGCUCAGGGAAGCAUUAGCAGGAGAGGCGCCCACGGCAGGGGCCGGCGUGAAAGAAUGGACAAGAGCAGCACGUGAUGAGCACGUCGGGCAGGGGUUGGGACGCGAGGGCCCCCUUGGCCGCUUCCGGGCCAACUAG
rnacentral:lncRNA from 1 species